rnacentral:misc_RNA from 1 species
UUUUUUUUUUUUUUUCUAAUCCAAAGUUGUGAAUAAACAGAGAAUAGAAAUCAAAGUUACAAUGGCAUCAUCCCAUUUUUAAAAAUCAAUAGGCUUCAUGAAUGACGGGACCAAUAUCAUUACAAAAUUCCAUUUCUUGAUGCUCAAAAGUUAAUUGCUACUUAACGAGUUUAGUAAUCACCAUUUUAAUUUGUAAUAAAUGACUAAAUAG